rnacentral:lncRNA from 1 species
AAUCCAUUAUAGUAAAUAUCAAAACUGAAGAACCAAUAGAGCAGUAUGAGAGAUCACUUCACCUUCACAGACCAGCCAUCCAGAGAGUAGCUUAUGAUUAUUUGGUAUAUUAAAUGAAGAUGUAUUUAUUGAGAGAGUUUCUACCAGGAUCAUCACUUCAACUUGUGCAGAGUUUCAGAGAUAUACUUUAGAGGCACAGC